rnacentral:rRNA from 1 species
GACGAACGCUGGCGGCGUGCUUAACACAUGCAAGUCGAACGGAAAGGCCCUGCUUUUGUGGGGUGCUCGAGUGGCGGACGGGUGAGUAACACGUGAGUAACCUGCCCUUGACUUUGGGAUAACUUCAGGAAACUUGGGCUAAUACCGGAUAUGAGCUCCUGCUGCAUGGUGGGGGUUGGAAAGUUUCGGCGGUUGGGGAUGGACUCGCGGCUUAUCAGCUUGUUGGUGGGGUAGUGGCUUACCAAGGCGUUGACGGGUAGCCGGCCUGAGAGGGUGACCGGCCACAUUGGGACUGAGAUACGGCCCAGACUCCUACGGGAGGCAGCAGUGGGGAAUAUUGCACAAUGGGCGGAAGCCUGAUGCAGCAACGCCGCGUGCGGGAUGACGGCCUUCGGGUUGUAAACCGCUUUCGCCUGUGACGAAGCGUGAGUGACGGUAAUGGGUAAAGAAGCACCGGCUAACUACGUG